AGAGCUGUGUGUCGCCGGGCCGAGCGCUGCGUGGCUCCUAUAGUGCGUUCAGGUGAGGCCGAUCCCGAUGUCAGCAAAUAUCUCAACAGGUUGAGUGAUUACCUGUUCACACUGGCCAGAUACACAGCUAUGAAAGAAGGAAACAUGGAGAGGAUCUACAGGAGACCUGAAUGAACUUCCACAAAAUCAGAAAUAAACUUUCUUUUAACAAAAUCAUUUGGUUCCUCCAGAUGUUUAUCUAAAUCGCAUUUAUCUCGACUCUGUGCUGAAAACUUCUCUCUCCCUCCUGACACUAACACUAGGUGGCGCUUUAACACUGGGUUUGAAUCACACUGAAUUAUGUGCACGUUUACUGUAUGAACAUUUCCUGCUAAAUUCUGAUCUCUGACACUGAAACACGACAUUGUUAUUAAGACUAAACUUCACUGGCUGUAGAGUUUCACUGAGAUUGUGCGAGUGAUGGUUUUGUGUAGAUUUGUCACGCUUAAAGUUUUAACUGAUUUAAACUGUUCACCACAAACACGUACACUAACAGAGAACCCAGUCACACUCCACUGUACACAAACAGAGAACCCAGUCACACACCACUGUACACAAACAGAGAACCAGACACACACCACUGUACACAAACAGAGAACCCGUCACACACCACUGUACACAAACAGAGAACCAGUCACACACCACUGUACACAAACAGAGAACCAGUCACACACCACUGUACACAAACAGAGAACCCGUCACACACCACUGUACACAAACAGAGUACCCGGUCACACACCACUGUACACAAACAGAGAACCAGUCACACACCACUGUACACAAACAGAGAACCUGUCACACACCACUGUACACAAACAGAGAACCCGGUCACACACCACUGUACACAAACAGAGAACCAGACACACACCACUGUACACAAACAGAGAACCCGGUCACACACCACUGUACACAAACAGAGAACCCGGUCACACACCACUGUACACAAACAGAGAACCCGGUCACACACCACUGUACACAAACAGAGAACCAGUCACACACCACUGUACACAAACAGAGAACCCGGUCACACACCACUGUACACAAACAGAGAACCAGACACACACCACUGUACACAAACAGAGAACCUGUCACACACCACUGUACACAAACAGAGAACCCAGACACACACCACUGUACACAAACAGAGAACCAGACACACACCACUGUACACAAACAGAGAACCCGGUCACACACCACUGUACACAAACAGAGAACCCGUCACACACCACUGUACACAAACAGAGAACCAGUCACACACCACUGUACACAAACAGA